UGGGGAAUAUUGCGCAAUGGGCGAAAGCCUGACGCAGCAACGCCGCGUGAGUGAUGAAGGCCUUCGGGUCGUAAAGCUCUGUCGGAGGGAACGAAUGCUCUUGAGGUUAACAGCCUCGGGAGGUGACGGUACCCUCAAAGGAAGCACCGGCUAACUCUGUGCCAGCAGCCGCGGUAAUACAGAGGGUGCAAGCGUUGUUCGGAAUCAUUGGGCGUAAAGGGCGUGUAGGCGGUAUGUUAAGUCAUGUGUGAAAUCCCUCGGCUCAACCGGGAAACGACGCAUGAAACUAGCAAGCUAGAGUACCAAAGAGGGUGGUGGAAUUCCCGGUGUAGCGGUGAAAUACGUAGAUAUCGGGAGGAACACCUGUGGCGAAGGCGGCCACCUGGUUGGAUACUGACGCUGAGACGCGAAAGCGUGGGGAGCAAACAGGAUUAGAUACCCCAGUAGUCCCUGAGCGGGCUGGCAAGGCGCAU
rnacentral:rRNA from 1 species